rnacentral:tRNA from 1 species
UGCGGGGUAGAGCAGUUUGGUAGCUCGCGAGGCUCAUAAUCUCGAGGCCAUAGGUUCAAAUCCUAUCCCCGCAA